rnacentral:rRNA from 1 species
AUUGAACGCUGGCGGCAGGCCUAACACAUGCAAGUCGAGCGGAGCGGCGGUCGGGUGAGUAAUGCCUAGGAAUCUGCCUGUUAGCGGGGGAUAACGUCCGGAACCGGGCGCUAAUACCGCAAACUCUCACCUGCGCCUAGGUCGGAUUAGGUAGUGGGUGGGGUAAAGGCAUACCAUGGCGACGAUCCGUAACUGGUCUGAGAGGAUGAUCAGCCACACUGGAACUGAGACACGGUCCAGACUCCUACGGGAGGCAGCAGUGGGGAAGAUUGGACAAUGGGCGAAAGCCUGAUCCAGCCAUGCCGCGUGUGUGAAGAAGGUCUUCGGAUUGUAAAGCACUUUAAGUUGGGAGGCGUUACCAACAGAAUAAGCACCGGCUAACUUCGUGCCAGCAGCCGCGGUAAUUC